AGUCACCUUCCUGCCCAUGAGCGCACGCCGCUUUUCAGCCAUCCUGAUAUAAACCAUCACCUCUUCUGCAAUGCAGAACAGAAACUUGAAAGUCUAGACACAGAUCAGUUUCUCCAGCUCCGGAUGCAGGGCACGAGCAACUCCCUUCACCCACAGAGGAGUCGGAGUGCAUGGAUUCCAUCCUGCGGGGGCCACAGGGACCUGGGCAGAAGGCAGAACGGGAGGAAAUUGCACCAGGAGGGCAUGGCCAGGGCUUAUCCAAAACAAGGAGCCACGCCCUGGCUGCCACAGAAUCACCCUGAAAACCCCAACAGGUGGAGACAAGCCAGCAUCCUAGGUAUCCUUCAAAUUCAUCUGUCACUGAGGGAGCUGCUGAGAUGAGCAGAGCGGAAAACCCAGAUGAUAAAGCCAAGCUAGCCACGUGCUGUCCUACCAAUGAGGUGUGAUAAAAACUACGACAAACGCUGCUGCCGAGCGCCACCCAACAGAAAGGCAGUGUGUAAAAACACGAUGCUGUGUCCUCCUCUACUUUACCCGCCUUAAUGCACUGUGCAACUCCUGGAUCUUCCCCAAAGUCAAACUGACAUGAAAGGGAAACAUUUUGAAUUGAUUCAUGACAUCAAGGUAGCCACAACAGCGCAACUACAGAAGAGUAUUCUGAGGAAGUGUUUUGAGGGGGGAAGGUGGAUUUUAGUGUAAUAAAAUUUUUAAAUUUAAACAUUCAA